rnacentral:rRNA from 1 species
UACGUAGGGUGCGAGCGUUGUCCGGAAUUAUUGGGCGUAAAGAGCUCGUAGGCGGUUUGUCGCGUCGGCCGUGAAAUCUCCACGCUUAACGUGGAGCGUGCGGUCGAUACGGGCAGACUUGAGUUCGGUAGGGGAGACUGGAAUUCCUGGUGUAGCGGUGAAAUGCGCAGAUAUCAGGAGGAACACCGGUGGCGAAGGCGGGUCUCUGGGCCGAUACUGACGCUGAGGAGCGAAAGCGUGGGGAGCGAGCAGG